GCUUAGAGAGGGGUCAAUGUCCUAUCAGCUAGUUGGCAGGGUAAUGGCCUACCAAGGCUAAGACGGGUAGCCGGCCUGAGAGGGUGGUCGGCCACACUGGGACUGAGACACUGCCCAGACUCCUACGGGAGGCUGCAGUCGAGAAUCUUUCGCAAUGCCCGAAAGGGUGACGAAGCGACGCCGCGUGUGGGAAGAAGGCCUUCGGGUUGUAAACCACUGUCGGGAGUUAAGAAAUGUAAGGGUGUUAAUAGCAUCCUUGCUUGACUAAGGCUCCGGAGGAAGCCACGGCUAACUCUGUGCCAGCAGCCGCGGUAAUACAGAGGCGGCAAGCGUUGUUCGGAAUUAUUGGGCGUAAAGAGCACGUAGGCGGCUUUGUAAGUCAGUUGUGAAAGCCUUCUGCUUAACGGAGGAACAGCAUCUGAUACUGCAAGGCUAGAGUACGGAAGGG
rnacentral:rRNA from 1 species